GAUGAACGCUGGCGGCGUGCCUAAUACAUGCAAGUCGAGCGAACGGACGAGAAGCUUGCUCCUCUGAUGUUAGCGACGGACGGGUGAGUAACACGUGGAUAACCAACCUAUACGACUGGGAUAACUUCGGGAAACCGGAGCUAAUACCGGAUAAUAUUUUUAACCGCAUGGUUCAAAAGUGAAAGACGGUCUUGCUGUCACUUAUAGAUGGAUCCGCGCUGCAUUAGCUAGUUGGUAAGGUAACGGCUUACCAAGGCAACGAUGGAUAGCCGACCUGAGAGGGUGAUAGGCCACCCAGGAACUGAGACACGGUCCAGCCACCUACGGGAGGCAGCAGGAGGGAAGCUACCGCAGUGGGCGAAAGCAUGACGGAGCAACGCCGGGUGAGUGAAGAAGGUCUGCGGUUCGUAAAACUCUGUUAUUAGAGAAGAACAUAUGGGUAAGUAACGGUGCACAUCUUGACGGUACCUAAGCAGAAAGCCACGCCUAACUACUU
rnacentral:rRNA from 1 species